UUUUAACGCUUUGGAUAAGUGAAUAAAAUAAAAGAGUUUAUUCGAUUAAGAUAAAUUUGUGAAGGAAAAAGGUUCAGGAAAAGUCCAAGAAUUUAUCGAAAAACCGAUAAGAGUUAUAGCACGACUAACAUACGCAUAAUCCUUGGUCAAAGGUAUUAGUGAAUAGUUAAUUUACGCUUUAGGACACGAUGGAAACUAAUUCCAAAAAUCCUCAGAGAAAUGUUAGAACUUCUCUUUUCCGUCCUUAAACAAUCAUUUCGAUGCGAAAUCCUGGAAAGUACGAACGUCAAAUUCCAAUUCUCGGAAGUUUGCCGAAACGGAAUCCCUGAUAGUUCGAGAAACCUAAGAUCGACAGACGAUGAAGGUUUUUUCUAUUCGGAGCUGCAAAAGAAGAUUCCACCCGCGUUCUCCUAUUUCUCUCGUCAAUUCUAAUCUUUCUUCAGAAGGAAGUUUUCUCAUCCGACGAUCACUGCAAAAAGUAGUUUUUCGGGAUAAACCGACUUACACCGACUUAUGCCGAUCUUGGAUCUUCUGGUUUAAUUCCAAGAAUCCUAUUUUGAGUUCUGGAAUUCUGUCGCCAGAACCUAUCUUAGAAUGCGCAGAGGAACGCGCAGGAAAAAUCGGAAUCGAAAAAAAAUCAUUUUUCCGUUUUUUCCAAAACCUAUAAAUAGCUAGAAAAUUAGAUUUUUUUGAGAAAAAACACCCAUUUCCCCUCCCCAAACCCGCGAGCAUCAAGAGAGAGAGAGAGAUCCGGAUCUUCGUCGUUUCUUGCCCGUUUGCUUCACCGAUCGUCACUAAUCGAAGACCUCGAGGUAGGUAAUCUAUACUCUCCUUCGAAUCGUCGUUUCUGUCCACUUCUCCUGCGACUUUCUGAGUUCAAAAUUUUGAGGUUUUUGAAAAACUGUUCAAAUCAGCUGAUUUCAGCGUCUAAACUUCUUCCCUGCAUGCUCCUGAGCGUGUUCUGCGGAUUAGAUUUUGUCAAAUGUCGACGAAAUGCCGCCGGGAUCAAUUUCUACCCUAAAUACCCAUUUUUCGGCAAAGUCGCAACCUUUAAGCUCUAAUCUAUCGACUUGGCUUAGUGCUAGUAGGAUUUGUCGUCAUAAACGUCGUUGUGGACGUCCCCAUCCAAUUUGUUUUUCAAAAAUCCAAUUUUGAAAUUCUGAGCUAAAAAUAAUGACCAAACUACCCCUAUAUCAGUUUUCGAUCCGAAAAUUUUUCCGAGCCUAGAACCGUCUUAGUUACGGCUUAUGUUAACCUAGGAACCAAGUUUGAUCGAAGAAAAAUCGACCCUCCCAAUUAGAGGAAGUGGCCGAGAGCUAUAUCAAGGGGGGAGGAGAAUCCGAUUUUUCGAAAACUUGUCUUAACGCGUUAGAUUGUCGUACCACGGAGGUAGUAGUGUACUGUGUAACCCUAGGACUCUUUGAUUGCUGAGUUUCUGACUCUUGGUGUUGAUUUCUGUGAUUUUUGCUUAAGGUUCGUUUGAGGAGAUUCCCAGAAAUCAAGGAGAAGAGCUUGAAGAACAUUUUGAGGAGGAAGCUGGAAGACCCACCGAUGAGUAUGGGGGAUUGGUUUACCAUGGUCAGCCCCUCGGGGGGGACCAGGUACGAGAUGCUUGAUCAAGACGACCCAGGUGCAUGGGUGGUCGAUCCCGAGGGCCACCGUGCGACCUACACCGGUCGGGUCAUGGAGGACCGUGUCGACCGAUUCGGACGCUUGACGGAAGGGGUGAUGAGGAGGCACAUAGUGAGCUUCAAUCCUGCCUCCAGGAGUACACUGUGGACCCGGCUUGGGAGGACCUCCACCGCCACCAUCCCCUUCGGAUGAUGAGGACCCCUCUGAGGAGCUGCCAGUAGGUGGGGCUUCGACGGAGUCUAGUCCGUCUACUGCUGCUGCUGUCGUCGCGGAUCUCGUUCCGGGCCCCGAGCCCGAGAGGCCAGUGCAGGAGCGCAUUAGGGUGGACAGAGAGGGCAGUGUUGAGUAUGUCGACUUAGUCGUCCUGGAUGCAGAUUCGGAUGACGACCGCGCUAGCAUGUAGGAUCGAGUGCUAGUGUGGGCUCCUCGGGUAGGGAUUAGUGUAGGAGUAGUGUCGAUGCUCUGACCGUCAUGCUUCAGUUUUGGGGACAGGGUAGUUUCCUACCGGUAGCUUUUUGUGUGGUUUCCUAUGGGGAUCACAGAGAGCUGGUUGGAUUUUUAGGGGGUCUUUUCUUAGGCCGCUGGGCCAACUUGUUCUCAGAUUUUGAGGUUUAGUGUUGCGGACACAGUAUUUUUACCUUGGACUGUACAUAUUGCCUUCGGGCGUUACUCUUUUUCUGUCACCCGUCACUGGAGGUUACUCGUGACGUGGUUGUGUUUAGCGAGGCAUGUAUAUAUAGUUGUAUAGUAGUUCCUUUUA